rnacentral:rRNA from 1 species
AGUGAACGCUGGCGGUAGGCCUAACACAUGCAAGUCGAACGGCAGCACAGAGGAGCUUGCUCCUUGGGUGGCGAGUGGCGGACGGGUGAGGAAUACAUCGGAAUCUACUCUGUCGUGGGGGAUAACGUAGGGAAACUUACGCUAAUACCGCAUACGACCUACGGGUGAAAGCAGGGGAUCUUCGGACCUUGCGCGAUUGAAUGAGCCGAUGGCGGAUUAGCUAGUUGGCGGGGUAAUGGCCCACCAAGGCGACGAUCCGUAGCUGGUAUGAGAGGAUGAUCAGCCACACUGGAACUGAGACACGGUCCAGACUCCUACGGGAGGCAGCAGUGGGGAAUAUUGGACAAUGGGCGCAAGCCUGAUCCAGCCAUACCGCGUGGGUGAAGAAGGCCUUCGGGUUGUAAAGCCCUUUUGUUGGGAAAGAAAUCCAUCUGGUUAAUACCCGGGUGGGAUGACGGUACCCAAAGAAUAAGCACCGGCUAACUUCGUGCCAGCAGCCGCCGUAA